rnacentral:rRNA from 1 species
AUUGAACGCUGGCGGCAUGCCUUACACAUGCAAGUCGAACGGUAGCGCGGGGCAACCUGGCGACGAGUGGCGAACGGGUGAGUAAUGCAUCGGAACGUGCCCAGUAGUGGGGGUUAGCUAAUACCGCAUACGCCCUGAGGGGGAAAGCGGGGGACCGUAAGGCCUCGCGUAAUUGGAGCGGCCGAUGUCUGAUUAGCUAGUUGGUGAGGUAAAGGCUCACCAAGGCGACGAUCAGUAGCAGGUCUGAGAGGAUGAUCUGCCACACUGGAACUGAGACACGGUCCAGACUCCUACGGGAGGCAGCAGUGGGGAAUUUUGGACAAUGGGCGAAAGCCUGAUCCAGCCAUUCCGCGUGAGUGAAGAAGGCCUUCGGGUUGUAAAGCUCUUUCGGCAGGGAAGAAACGCUCUGGGAUAAUACUCCGGGGUAAUGACGGUACCUGAAGAAGAAGCACCGGCUAACUACGUGCCAGCCGCCGCAGUAA